CUAUACAAUCUACUGUCUUU
rnacentral:ncRNA from 4 species